rnacentral:rRNA from 1 species
GGUGAGUAAUGUCUGGGAAACUGCCUGAUGGAGGGGGAUAACUACUGGAAACGGUAGCUAAUACCGCAUAACGUCGCAAGACCAAAGAGGGGGACCUUCGGGCCUCUUGCCAUCGGAUGUGCCCAGAUGGGAUUAGCUAGUAGGUGGGGUAACGGCUCACCUAGGCGACGAUCCCUAGCUGGUCUGAGAGGAUGACCAGCCACACUGGAACUGAGACACGGUCCAGACUCCUACGGGAGGCAGCAGUGGGGAAUAUUGCACAAUGGGCGCAAGCCUGAUGCAGCCAUGCCGCGUGUAUGAAGAAGGCCUUCGGGUUGUAAAGUACUUUCAGCGGGGAGGAAGGGAGUAAAGUUAAUACCUUUGCUCAUUGACGUUACCCGCAGAAGAAGCACCGGCUAACUCCGUGCCAGCAGCCGCGGUAAUACGGAGGGUGCAAGCGUUAAUCGGAAUUACUGGGCGUAAAGCGCACGCAGGCGGUUUGUUAAGUCAGAUGUGAAAUCCCCGGGCUCAACCUGGGAACUGCAUCUGAUACUGGCAAGCUUGAGUCUCGUAGAGGGGGGUAGAAUUCCAGGUGUAGCGGUGAAAUGCGUAGAGAUCUGGAGGAAUACCGGUGGCGAAGGCGGCCCCCUGGACGAAGACUGA